CGGUCUGAUCAAGCGUCUCUAAGGGCAUUUGGUGGAUGCCUUGGCGUUGAGAGGCGAUGAAGGACGUGACACGCUGCGAUAAGCCAUGGGGAGCUGCGAGUAAGCUUUGAUCCGUGGAUUUCCGAAUGGGGAAACCCGGCCAUUUAGGUCAUCCCGCGAGGAAAGCGAACCUGGGGAACUGAAAUAUCUAAGUACCCAGAGGAAAGGACAUCAACCGAGACUCCGUUAGUAGUGACGAGCGAAAGCGGACCAGGCCAGUGGCUUGAUAGAAGAUAACCAGAAGCGUCUGGAAAGGCGCGCCAUAGUGGGUGAUAGCCCCGUAUGGGUAAUGCUUUCUUCAAGUCCUUGAGUAGGGCGGGACACGUGAAAUCCUGUCUGAACAUGGGGGGACCACCCUCCAAGCCUAAGUACUCCUCAACGACCGAUAGCGAACCAGUACCGUGAGGGAAAGGUGAAAAGCACCCCGAUGAGGGGAGUGAAAUAGACCUGAAACCGAAUGCCUACAAUCAGUCGGAGCCACAUUAAGUGGUGACGGCGUACCUUUUGUAUAAUGGGUCAGCGAGUUACUUUGACGAGCAAGCCUAAGCCGUUAGGCGUAAGCGAAGCGAAAGCGAGUCUGAAUAGGGCGUUUAGUUCGUUUGAGUAGACCCGAAACCGGGUGAUCUAGCCAUGGGCAGGUUGAAGGUACGGUAACACGUACUGGAGGACCGAACCCACUUCUGUUGAAAAAGGAGGGGAUGACCUGUGGCUAGGGGUGAAAGGCCAAUCAAACCCGGAGAUAGCUGGUUCUCUGCGAAAACUAUUUAGGUAGUGCGUCGUGUAUUACCGUCGGGGGUAGAGCACUGGAUGGGCUAGGGGGGCGCGAAGCCUUACCAAACCUAACCAAACUCCGAAUACCGGCGAGUACAGCACGGCAGACAGACUAUGGGUGCUAAGGUCCAUAGUCGAGAGGGAAACAGCCCAGACCUCCAGCUAAGGUCCCUAAAUUGUGGCUAAGUGGGAAAGGAUGUGGGAAGGCCAAGACAGCCAGGAGGUUGGCUUAGAAGCAGCCAUCCUUUAAAGAAAGCGUAACAGCUCACUGGUCUAGACAAGGCCGGCCUGCGCCGAAGAUGUAACGGGGCUAAAGCCACAUACCGAAGCUGAGGACGUGAUUUAUCACGUGGUAGCAGAGCGUUCUGUAGGCCUGCGAAGCGUAAUCGUGAGAUUGCGUGGAGGUAUCAGAAGUGAGAAUGCUGACAUGAGUAGCGAUAAAGAGUGUGAGAAACACUCUCGCCGUAAGCCCAAGGGUUCCUGCGCAAGGCUAAUCCGCGCAGGGUGAGUCGGCCCCUAAGACGAGGGCGAAAGCCGUAGUCGAUGGGAAUCAGGUUAAUAUUCCUGAACCUGUUGGUAGUGACGGAUGACGUAAGUUGUACAUGCUUAACGGAUUGUGUGUGCAGCGAAAUUGUCCCAGGAAAUAGCUCCAACAUUAAGACCGUACCCCAAACCGACACAGGUGGGCAGGUAGAGCAUACCGAGGCGCUUGAGAGAACGAUGUUGAAGGAACUCGGCAAAUUGCCCCCGUAACUUCGGGAGAAGGGGGACCUCCAUUUAGGCAACUAGAUGGAGGUGGCACAGACCAGGGGGUGGCGACUGUUUAUUAAAAACACAGGGCUCUGCGAAGUAGAUAAUACGACGUAUAGGGCCUGACGCCUGCCCGGUGCCGGAAGGUUAAGAGGAGGUGUGAGAGCUCCGAAUUGAAGCCCCGGUAAACGGCGGCCGUAACUAUAACGGUCCUAAGGUA
rnacentral:rRNA from 1 species